rnacentral:rRNA from 1 species
UACAGAGGUGGCAAGCGUUGUUCGGAAUUACUGGGCGUAAAGGGCGCGUAGGCGGCCUUCUAAGUCAGACGUGAAAUCCCCAGGCUUAACUUGGGAACUGCGUCUGAUACUGGGAGGCUUGAAUGCGGGAGAGGGAUGUGGAAUUCCAGGUGUAGCGGUGAAAUGCGUAGAUAUCUGGAGGAACACCGGUGGCGAAGGCGGAUCUCUGGGCCAUUACUGACGCUGAGGAGCGAAAGCGUGGGGAGCGAACAGG